rnacentral:other from 1 species
AGUUCCCUGAGGUGUUCGAGAUUCAGAUAUGUCCUCGAGCCGAUAAUCACACCCCGGUGACCACUCGAUGGUGUUGUGAGCAAGUCCCUUGUUUGUUUUAAGCGAUUGAAGCAAACAACAGGGAAAGCCUAAUAUAUCACAGCGGUUACCACCUUGAACCAGUGGGUUCAAGGUCCUAUCUGAUAACGACACCACGGGGCGCUU